AGCGGGGAAGGGGGGCAGAGAUUUGAUCUGUGAAGGAGAACCAAAGCCCUGGCCGGAAGCGAUAAAAACAGAACAGAUGUCCCCAGAUACACAGUCGUGGGGAGGAACUUGUAAAUCACAUUCACUGCCGGCCCCAGAGAGAUGGCAGCUGAGCUGGAGGAGCCAGAAAAUCCAUGACGACAGGUGCAACAGCUCCUAACCGGUCCCCGUUGCCACUCUCGCGCCCCCUACAGUCUGUUCUUCGCACAGCGGCAAGAGUGAGUUCACAGAACUGUCAAUCAGAUCGCGCCAACUGCUGCUCACCGCCCUCCAAAAGAGGCUUGUUCCACACCCAGACUCCGCCCUGCGCCGCCUGGUCGUGCGCGCGUGCCUGGCUCCUCGGCCCUCCCUCUCCGCGCUGGGCCACACUGGUCUCCUCUGAACGUCGCUUGGAGCCUCUGUGCUUGCUCUUCCUCUUCCUGGAAAGCCUUCUCCCUAGUUGGUUCCACGCCGGCUCCUUUAUCCUUCAGCAGAACUUAGAGCUUCUUGGAAGAACUAAGAGGCGGCAGGGGAUUCAAGGCACCACUGAACGUCUUGGAGCAACAGUGGGGAGAAGGGACCCCUCCCAGACUGCGGAGAAACUUCCCUUGGCUGGGGCAGGGGAGGGGGGGGGGGGGGGGG
rnacentral:lncRNA from 1 species